CCAGGGAAAUUUAGAAAAGAGAAAGUUGGUUAAAAUUAAAAUAAAUAAUAAAGCCAAAAAAAUUAGAGAUAAGGGCUAGGGAUUCUAUAAGGGGGAUACCACAUGGAACAUAUAUUGGUGUUUAAUUUAAAACUUGUAGGGAAAUAUUUUAGGAAUGUAUUUCUAAGUAUGAAUAUGAAC